CGACCGGCGCACGGGUGAGUAACGCGUAUGCAACCUGCCUGAUACCGGGGUAUAGCCCAUGGAAACGUGGAUUAACACCCCAUAGUACUUUUAUCCUGCCUGGGAUGUGAGUUAAAUGUUCAAGGUAUCGGAUGGGCAUGCGUCCUAUUAGUUAGUUGGCGGGGUAACAGCCCACCAAGACGAUGAUAGGUAGGGGUUCUGAGAGGAAGGUCCCCCACAUUGGAACUGAGACACAGUCCAA
rnacentral:rRNA from 1 species